rnacentral:rRNA from 1 species
UAAUAUUCCUUAUCGCUACAUCAGUUAUCGUCGAACGGUAGAGUAGAAGCUUGCUUCUCUUGAGAGCGGCGGACGGGUGAGUAAUGCCUAGGAAUCUGCCUGGUAGUGGGGGAUAACGUCCGGAAACGGACGCUAAUACCGCAUACGUCCUACGGGAGAAAGCAGGGGAUCUUCGGGCCUUGCGCUAUCAGAUGAGCCUAGGUCGGAUUAGCUAGUUGGUGGGGUAAUGGCUCACCAAGGCGACGAUCCGUAACUGGUCUGAGAGGAUGAUCAGUCACACUGGAACUGAGACACGGUCCAGACUCCUACGGGAGGCAGCAGUGGGGAAUAUUGGACAAUGGGCGAAAGCCUGAUCCAGCCAUGCCGCGUGUGUGAAGAAGGUCUUCGGAUUGUAAAGCACUUUAAGUUGGGAGGAAGGGCAGUAAAUUAAUACUUUGCUGUUUUGACGUUACCGACAGAAUAAGCACCGGCUAACUCUGUGCCAGCAGCCGCGGUAAUACAGAGGGUGCAAGCGUUAAUCGGAAUUACUGGGCGUAAAGCGCGCGUAGGUGGUUCGUUAAGUUGGAUGUGAAAUCCCCGGGCUCAACCUGGGGAACUGCAUUCAAAACUGGGCGAGCUAAAAGUAUGGUAGAGGGUG